CCUACGGGAGGCAGCAGUGGGGAAUCUUGCGCAAUGGGCGAAAGCCUGACGCAGCCACGCCACGUGUGGGAUUUAAGGCCUUCGGGUUGUAAACCACUUUCAGCAGGGAAGAAAAUGACGGUACCUGCAGAAGAAGCCCCGGCCAACUACGUGCCAGCAGCCGCGGUAACACGUAGGGGGCAAGCGUUGUCCGGAAUUACUGGGCGUAAAGGGCUCGUAGGCGGUUUGGUAAGUCAUAUGUGAAAACUCCGGGCUCAACCCGGAGAUGCCAUAUGAAACUGCCAUGACUAGAGUUUGGUAGAGGAGUGUAGAAUUCCCGGUGUAGCGGUGGAAUGCGCAGAUAUCGGGAGGAAUACCAGUCAGCGAAGGCGGCACUCUGGGCCACAACUGACGCUAAGGAGCGAAAGCGUGGGUAGCAAACAGGAUUAGAUACCCUGGUAGUCCACGCCGUAAACGGUGGGCACUAGGUGUGGGAUCCUUGGUCAACAAGGGUUCCGUACACGCAGCUAACGCGUUAAGUGCCCCGCCUGGGGAGUACGGCCGCAAGGCUAAAACUCAAAUGAAUUGACGG
rnacentral:rRNA from 1 species